rnacentral:rRNA from 1 species
CCUACGGGGUGCAGCAGUGAGGAAUAUUGGUCAAUGGACGAGAGUCUGAACCAGCCAAGUAGCGUGAAGGAUGACUGCCCUAUGGGUUGUAAACUUCUUUUAUAUGGGAAUAAAACGUUCCACGUGUGGGAUUUUGUAUGUACCAUAUGAAUAAGGAUCGGCUAACUCCGUGCCAGCAGCCGCGGUAAUACGGAGGAUCCGAGCGUUAUCCGGAUUUAUUGGGUUUAAAGGGAGCGUAGGUGGAUUGUUAAGUCAGUUGUGAAAGUUUGUGGCUCAACCGUAAAAUUGCAGUUGAAACUGGCAGUCUUGAGUACAGUAGAGGUGGGCGGAAUUCGUGGUGUAGCGGUGAAAUGCUUAGAUAUCACGAAGAACUCCGAUUGUGAAGGCAGUUCACUGGACUGCAACUGACACUGAGGCUCGAAAGUGUGGGUAUCAAACAGGAUUAGAUACCCGGGUAGUC